rnacentral:lncRNA from 1 species
GUUUUUUAAUUCUAAAUUUUGAUCUAGGGAGCCCUCAGACAUAAGGAGAAACCAAUAUGUUGAAUGAUGGGGUAUUACAUACAGAAGGACCAAGACCUUAUUUUCUCCUACUUAAGAUGGAAUCUUGUUAAGAUGAAAGGACAGCUUUUUAAAAGGAGAAGGUCAUAAGACAGUUUGAGGAAGGCAUUGGAAGAGGAAGAGGGGCAAUGUCUCCUUUGUUUUAUUGUUGGUAUAUAAACUUAAAAUCUCAGUUCUUUUUAUGGCACUUGUGGAGCCACUUCCUCUCCUCACCAAAAAAUGCCCAGUACCCUGAAUCCGAUCAAAUUACUCUCCUAAAGUAUAAGGCUUAGUUUCUGUGUGCUGCUUCGCGAGACAGUUCCCACAAAUCGAGAGUGUUAAUCAGACUUUUGUGUUUUCUUUUUUGGAUUGCUGUUGUUUGUUUUCAUUUAUCAUUUGUCUUUGCCUAAGCCAGGCUCAUCAAGAAUUAACAGCCAUCAGGCUGCCGAUGUGCUGACAGCAGACCCACUUAGAGUCCUGUGUUUGUAAUUCCAUGCAUUUGUUAUUUUACCUGUUUUGUCCCUGCCCCUUCUAGUCCUGUGCCUCCUGAUUGCUGAGUGUUCACCUGGACCUUCUGACUACCUUCCCUGUGCUAUUCCAUCAGCCUACAGACCUGGUACCUGGAUUUUUGCCCGAGAUGAUUCCUACCACCUUACUACUGACGAAGACACCCAUUCCAGUGGACCACUGUGACCCAGGAGGCAUUCAGCCAUCAUGAUGUGGCCUUUACCUCCACUCCUGUCUUGUUCUACCCAGAUUCAGCACAGCCCUUUAUAGUGAAGUCAGAGUCCUCAAGCCAAAUAGCUAAAGCUGUUUUAUCACAACAAAGGCCUAGUUUGUUCCAUGAGUGUGCAUUUCAUUUCUUCAGUUAAAGCCUUCAGAGACACACAAUAAAUUUGGACCAGGGGAUUUUUUAGUUAUUAAUGCUCUCUGAAGAAAGGCAACAUCUUUUUGAGAGCAGCAUUGGACCACACCCCACAAUCUCAAAUGAUUGAAAUUCAUGAACAUCUAGGAUCCCGUGAAGGUCACUGGACCCUGUUUUUUCUACUUCAAAUCCUGUAGUAGCCUACUGAAUGAGAAAACAUAUUCUGACCCAUUGGGAUCAAAUCAAAGGCACAGUGAACUCCUCAUAGCAUCUUCUUUGGAAUUACUCAGGAACCAGAACUUUUUACACAAAUGUAAGAAAUUCUACCAAGGAGUCCCCUUACCUAACAGCAUCUCACAAGGCUGCACCAGAUUCCAGAAAAGGCUUCUCUUGAUACAUCAAGGUAGAACCUCUAUGCAUUUUGUGACCGACUUAUUCUUAGAUCAUUGGUUUUCCAAAGGCUUUGUGGCCAUGAAGCCCUUUGAGUGAAAACUGUGCAGAAGCCCAGAGUAAAAGUGAAGCUGCUCUGGAUGAAGUAGUGAAGCAAGAGUAGGGGCCUGAAUCCUGCUACAACUAUCUUCCUUUACCACCGUGGUGACACCUAAGGGGACUUCCUUACAACACCUUGAACUCUUCCGAACACAGUUUGAAAACCACUGCCCCAGACAGCAAUAUGUUUGACCUGAAUGGCAUUCCAAUCUUUUCUGUACCUCCACUCAGCACAGUUCAUGUUCAGUAGAUGCUGAACAUUCUUAGAAAUACUGUGUGUGAACUUAGAAAAGUGCAAGAAGACAGGCAUGUCUUUGACCCCAGGAAUGAUCAUUUGCUGAAGAUGGUGUCAAGUGAACCUAGAUUAACAGCCCUCCACUCCAGAUGGAUAUCCAGUGAUUCCUAGAAUGGGAUAUAGCCAGAGAACAAUUCUAUGCACCCUACACUGACAGACUCCCUUAAGCAACACCAGAUGCUCUACUGGUACUUGAAGUACAUGACUUUGAAGUCUUGACCCUCCAUGAAUACCUGAAUUAUCAGCAAGCGGGUUUUGAAGCUGGUGCCUCAUUGAGGCCAUAUUAGAGCAACUUGUACAUUUGACCUCUUGUUAUCAGCCAUGGUACUCUACUUCGUGUGCAAGAGAUAACUAUGAAAGCCAAAUUCAAAUACUGGCAACAUUUCCUAAAGGGGCUCAAUAUCUAUCAUUCGUCUUCUUUUCCAAACUACACAUCACUGUAUGACUCAACCAGUAGCAGUUAUAUUGCCCCUUGGUUUUUAUUCAGUUUAACUACUGUUUCCAAGAUAAAUGAGCUAAUAAGCUUU